rnacentral:rRNA from 1 species
UACGGGGGGGAGCAAGCGUUGUUCGGAUUUACUAGGCGUAAAGGGCGCGUAGGCGGCCAUUCAAGUCGGAGGUGAAAGCCCAGGGCUCAACCCCGGGGAACUGCGUCCGAGACUGGCAGGCUCGAAUCCGGGAGAGGGAUGCGGAAUUCCAGGUGUAGCGGUGAAAUGCGUAGAUAUCUGGAGGAACACCGGUGGCGAAGGCGGCAUCCUGGACCGGCAUUGACGCUGAGGCGCGAAAGCCAGGGGAGCAAAGCGGG